GCAUGCGCGGGAAGUGGAGGGUUUUGGUGCGGGGCGCGACCCGUAGCCAGCGUUGGCGCAUGCGCGCGGUAGGUGGCCGGCUGUGCUGUGGGUCGGGGCCGCCGCCUCCAUGAAGUCCCGGUUCAGCACCGUCGAUAUCCGUGCGGUGCUCGCCGAGCUCCGGCAGAGCUUAUUGGGAAUGAGAGUAAACAAUGUUUAUGAUGUGGAUAAUAAGACGUAUCUUAUUCGCCUUCAAAAACCAGACUGCAAGGCCACGCUGCUGCUUGAGUCUGGUAUACGCAUUCACACGACGGAGUUUGAGUGGCCGAAGAACAUGAUGCCAUCUAGCUUUGCAAUGAAGUGCCGUAAGCAUUUAAAGACCAGAAGACUUGUCAGUGUCAACCAACUGGGUAUAGACAGAAUUGUGGACUUCCAGUUUGGAAGCGAUGAAGCUGCUUAUCACCUCAUCGUUGAGUUAUAUGACAGGGGUAACAUUGUCCUGACAGACCAUGAAUACAUCAUUUUAAACAUUCUGAGGUUUCGGACGGAUGAGGCAGAUGAUGUCAGAUUUGCAGUUCGGGAACGAUACCCAGUGGACAGUGCAAAAGCUCCUGCACCUCUGCCAACCUUGGAAAGGUUAACUGAAAUAAUAUCAAAUGCAUCUAAAGGGGAACAACUGAAGAGGGUUCUUAACCCGCAUCUUCCUUACGGAGCCACUCUCAUUGAGCAUUGCCUUGUAGAAACUGGAUUUUCUGGUUAUGUCAAAAUAGACCAGCAUAUGGAAAAUAAAGAAAAUGUUGAAAAAGUGCUUACUGCGUUAGAGAAAGCAGAAGAAUAUAUGACACUAACUGGCAACUUCAGUGGAAAGGGUUACAUUAUCCAGAAAAGGGAGAAAAAGCCAAGUCUGGAACCAGAUAAACCAGCAGAAGAUAUCUACACAUAUGAGGAAUUUCAUCCUUUCUUGUUUUCUCAACAUUCAAAAUGUCCGUACUUGGAAUUUGACUCAUUCAAUAAGGCAGCAGAUGAGUUCUACUCCAAGCUAGAAGGACAGAAAAUUGAUCUGAAAGCAUUGCAGCAGGAAAAGCAAGCAUUGAAAAAACUUGAAAAUGUCCGUAGGGAUCAUGAGCACAGACUAGAAGCUCUUCAGCAGGCUCAGGAAGCUGAUAAGAUGAAAGGAGAACUUAUAGAAAUGAACUUGGAGAUUGUUGACCGAGCCAUCCAGGUGGUCCGUAGUGCAUUAGCCAACCAGAUAGACUGGACGGAGAUCGGAGCAAUUGUUAAAGAAGCUCAAGCCCAGGGAGACCCCGUUGCAAGUGCAAUCAAAGAGUUAAAGCUUCAGACGAAUCAUAUCACGAUGCUGCUGAGGAACCCAUACGUAUUAUCUGAAGAAGAAGAGGAGGAGGAGGAUGCUGAUUUAGAGAAAGAAGAAACAGAAGAACCAAAGGGAAAAAAGAAAAAGAAUAAAAACAAACAGUUGAAGAAACCUCAGAAAAACAAACCCUUGUUAGUCGAUGUUGAUCUCAGUUUGUCUGCAUAUGCCAAUGCCAAAAAGUACUAUGACCACAAAAGACAUGCAGCUAAGAAAACUCAGAAGACAGUAGAAGCUGCAGAAAAGGCAUUUAAAUCGGCUGAGAAGAAGACGAAGCAGACCCUGAGGGAAGUUCAGACAGUUACCACCAUUCAGAAAGCAAGGAAGGUCUAUUGGUUUGAGAAGUUCCUGUGGUUCAUUAGUUCUGAGAAUUACCUCGUCAUUGCUGGAAGAGAUCAACAGCAGAAUGAGCUGAUUGUAAAGCGGUAUCUUAAACCAGGGGACAUAUAUGUGCAUGCUGAUCUCCAUGGAGCCACGAGCUGUGUGAUCAAGAACCCAUCAGGUGAACCGAUCCCUCCACGAACCCUGAUGGAGGCAGGCACGAUGGCCUUGUGUUACAGUGCUGCCUGGGAUGCCCGCGUUGUCACCAGUGCCUGGUGGGUGUCCCACAACCAGGUUUCUAAAACCGCACCUACAGGAGAAUACCUCACUACUGGAAGCUUCAUGAUCCGAGGGAAAAAGAAUUUUCUUCCACCUUCAUAUCUGAUGAUGGGCUUUAGUUUCUUGUUCAAGGUGGAUGAAAGCUGUGUUUGGAGACACCGGGAAGAAAGGAAGAUCAAAGUGCAGGAUGAGGAUCUGGAAACGGUUUCCAGCAGUGCCAGUGAACUGGUGUCAGAAGAUGUGGAGCUAUUAGAUGGAGGAGACAGCAGCAACGAAGAGGAAAAAGCAGAGUGUCAGGAAGCACUGGAGGAUGUGGAAGCUGUGUCUGAGGGUAAUUGUGAGGAGGGCAUUGCUGACCUGGACCAGGGAAGAGUAGACACACCUCCUGCACCGGAGGGUGACUCUGAAGAGGAUGAAGGAGAAUCUGAAGAUGAAGUGGAACAUCCAGAGUCAAAGAGUGAAGUGAAGGAGGAAGAGGUAAAUUAUCCAGAUACAACAAUAGACCUGUCGCAUCUUCAGUCUCAAAGAUCCCUGCAGACAAUCAUCCCCAAACAGGAAGAACCCAGUUUGGGUGACAGCAAGUCCCAGGGCCGAAGGCAUCUGUCUGCCAAGGAGCGGAGAGAAAUGAAGAAAAAGAAGCAGCAAAACAACACUGAGAACUUGGAGCCACCUGAAGAGAAGCAGAAAGAGAUGGAAACACAGCCUGUCCCUAUUCCCAACACCAAUAAGGGUGUGCCAGCCCCUCAGCCUGUCAAGCGGGGCCAGAAGAGUAAAAUGAAGAAGAUGAAGGAGAAGUACAAGGACCAGGACGAGGAGGACCGGGAGCUCAUCAUGAAACUGCUGGGGUCUGCAGGGUCAAACAAGGAGGAGAAGGGGAAAAAAGGGAAGAAGGGGAAGACAAAAGAAGAGCCAGCAAAGAAGCAACAGCAAAACCCCAAAGCCGUGCGUCAUGGUGCUAGAGGGGGCAAGGAGUCACUCCCAGCAGGAGUUGUGCUGCACGAGUCACAGGACCCAGCCCUGGAGGAGCAGCAGGAUGAGAAGGAGGAGCAAGACCAGGAUCAGCCGGGAGUUGAGGGGGAAGCUUUUGGUGACACUGUGAAGAUGUAAUGACACUUGGAGGUCCCAUUUGGAUCAUUUAAAACCGAGAUCCAUCCUAUUUCAAAUGAUGCAACUUUAGUAAUCAGAGAUGGUCAGUAAUAACUCGUGGCUUGGUAACUCAAGGCCAGUGAAGUGAGUGAUAAAUAGUACACGUCAGUAAUGCUGUUGUGAGGUCUGACACGUGGUACCUGUAGGAGGGUGGCUGCUGCUGUGGUUCAGCUGGGAGGGGAGACCCUCCAGCCUCUGCCCACUGUGAUUAUGGGAGUGAGGGGCUGGAGAGGCGCUGUCUGGUCUCACAGUGAAGCUCCUCUGCCCGCGCAGGAGGGUGAGGCGCUGCUGGACUCCCUCACUGGCCAGCCGCACCCUGAGGAUAUCCUGCUCUUCGCCGUUCCCAUCUGCGCUCCCUACACGGCGAUGACGAACUACAAGUACAAAGUCAAGCUCACUCCAGGCACCCAAAAGAAGGGAAAAGCUGCAAAGAUUGCCUUGCAUAAUUUUAUGCAAUCCAAAGAAGCUAGUGCAAGAGAAAAAGACCUGUUCCGCAGCGUAAAGGUGGCAAGUUUUUCUGCAUGGUUUCUCUAUACAAAUAUAACAGCAGCAGCAAAAUGUCAACUAGUGCCAUUUUGGGGGAUACUGAUUUGUCAAGGAAUAUUCCUGGUAAAGUGAAAGUGUCUGCACCUCAUCUCCUGAACAAGAAGAAGAAGUGAUUCCAUACUUGGGUUUCUCACUACUGAACUGCCACUGCUGUGCAGUCAGAAUCCAGCACCUGCAGCUGGGACAGACGGACACAGACCUACUCCGACUGCCAUUAACUGGACUGAGUUUAGCUCCCGUGGUGUAGCGGGCAGAUGAGGACCAGUUCCUGCAUCGCGGCGGAUGGACUCUCGAUACAAAUAGCAUAAAAACAUGCGAAUAAAUUGCUGGUGUUUGGUCAGUGA